AGACAAGCCCAUAUGAUACUUAAAUAUAUUUACAAACGUAAUACUACAAUAAUACAACAAAAUGUAUACUAGUAAUAAAUUACAUACUUACAAUUUAGAAUUUAAUUUGGCGGAUUGAUUGGUUUCACCAAGCCGUGUUGGGUUGCACGUAAAGAGGACCACCACGUUGAUUAGUGUUUUAAAUGAACCAACGAUUUAAAUUCCGUUGUGGGACUCCUCUUUGUGGGUCCUCAUCCCUCCCUCCACGUUUCGAUUUUUGGUCGUCCGAUUUGGGAUUUGAUCAGAGUAUUAUUUCGGUUGAUAAAGUCAUACAAACCAACGGAUACGAUGAGCUGUUGGUUGAAGUAAUCAAUAGUAUGGACUUUGACCACGACAUUACAACGGCUUGUCCAAUGUCCUAAUCAUAUGCCAUUUUUUCCACAAGUAAGUUUUGGUUUCGGCCUAAUUUUGAUAUG